rnacentral:rRNA from 1 species
AUUCAAAUUUCUUCCCUAUCAACUUUCGAUGUUUGGGUAUUGGCCAAACAUGGUUGCAACGGGUAACGGAGGGUUAGGGCUCGACCCCGGAGAAGGAGCCUGAGAAACGGCUACUACAUCCAAGGAAGGCAGCAGGCGCGCAAAUUACCCAAUCCCGACACGGGGAGGUAGUGACAAUAAAUACUGAUACAGGGCUCUUUUGGGUCUUGUAAUUGGAAUGAGUACAAUUUAAAUCCCUUAACGAGGAACAAUUGGAGGGCAAGUCUGGUGCCAGCAGCCGCGGUAAUUCCAGCUCCAAUAGCGUAUAUUAAAGUUGUUGUGGUUAAAAAGCUCGUAGUUGAACCUUGGGCCUGGCCGUCCGGUCCGCCUCACCGCGUGUACUGGCUCGGCCGGGCCUUUCCCUCUGUGGAACCCCAUGCCCUUCACUGGGCGUGGCGGGGAAACAGGACUUUUACUGUGAAAAAAUUAGAGUGCUCCAGGCAGGCCUAUGCUCGAAUACAUUAGCAUGGAAUAAUAGAAUAGGACGUGUGGUUUCUAUUUUGUUGGUUUCUAGGACCGCCGUAA